AUCGAACGCUGGCGGCAGGCCUAAAACAUGCAAGUCGAACGGAACGGCGGACGGGGGAGUAAUGCCUGGUAAUCUGCCUGGUAGUGGGGGACAACGCCCGGAAAGGGACGCUAAUACCGCAUACUAUCAGAUGAGCCUAGGGCGGAUUGGCUAGUUGGUGGGGUAAAGGCCUCACAAGGCGACGAUCCGUAACUGGUCGGAGAGGAUGAUCAGUGACACGGGAACUGAGAAACGGUCCAGACUCCUACGGGAGGCAGCAGUGGGGAAUAUUGGACAAUGGGCGAAAGCCUGAUCCAGCCAGGCCGCGUGUGUGAAGAAGGUUUUCGGAUUGUAAAGCUCUUUAAGUUGGGAGGCGUUACCUACAGAAUAAGCCACGGCUAACUACGUGCCAGCAGCCGUGGUAAUUC
rnacentral:rRNA from 1 species